GACGAACGCUGGCGGCGUGCUUAACACAUGCAAGUCGAACGGUGAAGCCCUUCGGGGUGGAUCAGUGGCGAACGGGUGAGUAACACGUGAGCAACCUGCCCCUGGCUCUGGGACAACCACUGGAAACGGUGGCUAAUACCGGAUACGACCCGCCUCGGCAUCGAGUGUGGGUGGAAAGUUUUUCGGCUGGGGAUGGGCUCGCGGCCUAUCAGCUUGUUGGUGAGGUGAAGGCUCACCAAGGCGACGACGGGUAGCCGGCCUGAGAGGGCGACCGGCCACACUGGGACUGAGACACGGCCCAGACUCCUACGGGAGGCAACAGUGGGGAAUAUUGCACAAUGGGCGAAAGCCUGAUGCAGCGACGCCGCGUGAGGGAUGACGGCCUUCGGGUUGUAAACCUCUUUCAGCUCCGAAGAAGCGAAAGUGACGGUAGGAGCAGAAGAAGCACCGGCUAACUACGUG
rnacentral:rRNA from 1 species